rnacentral:rRNA from 1 species
UACGGGGGGGGCAAGCGUUGCUCGGAAUUACUGGGCGUAAAGCGUGCGUAGGUGGUUUGUUAAGUCUGCUGUGAAAGCCCCGGGCUCAACCUGGGAAUGGCAGUGGAUACUGGCAAGCUAGAGUGCGGUAGAGGGGUGUGGAAUUCCCGGUGUAGCGGUGAAAUGCGUAGAGAUCGGGAGGAACACCAGUGGCGAAGGCGGCACCCUGGACCAGCACUGACACUGAGGCACGAAAGCGUGGGGAGCAAACAGG